AUGCAUGAUGCAGCGCUUUAUAAUGGACAUAGACUAGUCAGCGGUAGGGCAGCAACAAUAGCUCGCAUAUCUUCACACAAACUCAUGGCGCAUUGCCCUCCUCUCCGCUCGCCGGCGCCGGCGACACUACCACCGCCACCGUCAUCCACCAUGAACGCUCUCCAGCUCCCCUUUCAACCACUCAAACCACCGUCAACCUUAAACACCACCACCUUAAAGGGCCUUUUUGCCACAGCUCUGAACCUCCUUGAGGACCGCGUGAUCGUCCCGCUCGAGGCGAGGAGGCAACUACCCAGCUGCGUCGACCCGGCUGUGCAGCUCGCCGGCAACUUCGCGCCCGUGCAGGAGAUGCCGUCCCCGCUGCGGAACCUGGGCGUCACCGGCGAGAUCCCGCCGGCUCUGCUCGGCGGCGUGUACGUACGUAACGGCGCGAACCCACUACUCCCGCCGACGGCAGGGCACCACCUCUUCGACGGCGACGGGAUGCUCCACGCGGUGUCACUGCCGUCAUCUUCGUCUUUGGCGCCGUCGGGGGCAUCUUACACGUGUCGGUUCACACGCACCAGCCGGCUCGCUCAGGAGGAGGCGCUGGGGCGAUGCGCGUUCCCAAAGGCCAUUGGCGAGCUCCAUGGAGGUGCGGGUAUCGCUCGGCUCGCUCUUUUCGGCCUCCGCGCGGUCACCGGCAUCGUCGACUCCAGCAAAGGCGCCGGCUCCGCAAACGCCGGGCUUGUCUACUUUGGCGGCCGCCUGCUCGCGCUCUCAGAAGACAACCUGCCGUACCAGGUGCAUGUCGGUGACGGUGGCGACCUACACACCGUCGGCCGGUUCGACUUCGCUGGGCAGCUGUGCUCACCAAUGAUCGCCCACCCGAAGGUCGACCAGGCCACGGGCGAGCUCUUCGCGCUGAGCUACGACCCCGUGAGGAGGCCGUACCUGCGGUACUUCCGCGUGGACCCGGCCACCGGCGAGAAGUCCCGCGACGUGGACGUGGCACUCCGGCAGCCGACGAUGGUGCACGACUUCGCCAUCACCGAGAGCUUCGCCGUGAUCCCAGACCAGCAGGUGGUGUAUGACUCGAACGACUCUAGGAUGCGAUGGUUCGACGUGCCGGAUUGCUUCUGCUUCCACGUCUGGAAUGCAUGGGAGGAGACCGACCAUGCGGGCGACGGCCCGGCCACCGUAGUCAUUAUCUGCUCCUGCAUGACGCCGCCGGACGCGCUCUUUUGUGAAGCCGCCGCCGAUGCCCCGACGAACUUGCGCGCCACCCUGACAGAGAUCCGGCUGGACCUCCGUACGGGGAUGUCUCGACGGCGUGAGCUCGCCUCGGGGCUGAGCUUGGAGGCCGGCACUGUGAACCGGACCCUGCUGGGGCGGCGGACCCGGUACGCGUACCUCGCCAUCGCGGAGCCGUGGCCGCGGUGCCAGGGCGUGGCCAAGGUGGACCUGGCGACCGGUGAGGCUGUCGCGGUGCAUCAGUAUGGCACCGGACGGUUCGGCGGCGAGGCGUCGUUCGUGCCGGCGGCCGGCGGUGAUAAGAGGGAGGACGAGGGGCACGUGGUGGUGAUGGUGCACGAUGAGGCGGCGAGCACGUCGGAGCUAGCCGCAGUGGCAACGGUGGCGCUGACGUGCCGCGUGCCCUACGGCUUCCAUGGCGCGUUCCUCACUAGAGAUCAGCUCGCCGCUCAGAGGACUUGUAUCUCCUAG
rnacentral:rRNA from 1 species